rnacentral:rRNA from 1 species
UACGUAGGGUGCAAGCGUUGUCCGGAAUUAUUGGGCGUAAAGGGCGCGUAGGCGGCUCUGCACGUCCGUUGUGAAAUCGCCCGGCUCAACUGGGCGGGGUCAGCGGAUACGGCGGAGCUUGAGCAAGCUAGGGGGCAAUGGAAUUCCCGGUGUAGUGGUGGAAUGCGUAGAUAUCGGGAGGAACACCAGUGGCGAAGGCGGUUGCCUGGGGCUUUGCUGACGCUGAUGCGCGAAAGCGUGGGGAGCGAUCCGG